GGAAUUUCCCGUCCUGGUUUCCAGCUGCCUCCAGUCAGUUACUUCUAAGGUGCCCACCAGAGUACUUCAGGAUAACUGCUCCCUCAAGUUCAAAUAAUUUCCUCUGUCACUGCAUGCAUCACACAGGAAUCUGUGAGGAGUCAGGUCCUGUAAACCAGCCAUCAUCAGCAACAUCACGUAAUGAAGUCCUAGAACUGCAGGCUUCUCUGCUUCAGUGCUCUUGGGAGAGAAGUGCUGUGUCUGAACUGCCAUGCACAGAAAAAAGGAAAUAUUUCAGCACUGGUUCACCAGGAGGCCAGCUGGUUGUCAGCAUAAGAAAAAAGUCCUCCUAGGAAAUGCACUCUUCCCACCAAGGAUGGCAUGAAAAUGGCCAUAAUUGCUGGCAGG
ensembl:lncRNA